rnacentral:rRNA from 1 species
UACCAGCACCCCGAGUGGUCGGGACGUUUAUUGGGCCUAAAGCAUCCGUAGCCGGUUCUACAAGUCUUCCGUUAAAUCCACCUGCUCAACAGAUGGGCUGCGGAAGAUACUAAGGAGCUAGGAGGCGGGAGAGGCAAGCGGUACUCGAUGGGUAGGGGUAAAAUCCGUUGAUCCAUUGAAGACCACCAGUGGCGAAGGCGGCUUGCCAGAACGCGCUCGACGGUGAGGGAUGAAAGCUGGGGGAGCAAACCGG